rnacentral:rRNA from 1 species
GACGAACGCUGGCGGCGUGCCUAAUACAUGCAAGUAGAACGCUGAAGGAGGAGCUUGCUUCUCUGGAUGAGUUGCGAACGGGUGAGUAACGCGUAGGUAACCUGCCUGGUAGCGGGGGAUAACUACUGGAAACGAUAGCUAAUACCGCAUAAUAGUAGAUGUUGCAUGACAUUUGCUUAAAAGGUGCAAUUGCAUCACUACCAGAUGGACCUGCGUUGUAUUAGCUAGUUGGUGGGGUAACGGCUCACCAAGGCGACGAUACAUAGCCGACCUGAGAGGGUGAUCGGCCACACUGGGACUGAGACACGGCCCAGACUCCUACGGGAGGCAGCAGUAGGGAAUCUUCGGCAAUGGACGGAAGUCUGACCGAGCAACGCCGCGUGAGUGAAGAAGGGUUUCGGAUCGUAAAGCUCUGUUGUAAGAGAAGAACGAGUGUGAGAGUGGAAAGUUCACACUGUGACGGUAGCUUACCAGAAAGGGACGGCUAACUACGUG